AAAGCUGAAGAAGAUGAAGAAAUCACUAUUUUACAGAUUCCACAUGAUGUAAAGUACAACUUUAGAAAAGAAGAGGAUAUCAACAUUGUGCAGAUUUCACAGGAUGUGUUGAGCAGUUAUUAAGAGGACGAAAAAAAUCACCCCCUGACAGAACACAGACACGAGAAGAAAAAUUACCAGAUACAAGAAAUCAGUGUGGU